CUGGACAAUAAAUAGCCGAAUCUUUUGCCUACCCCGCCUUUGCCUUGGACCUUGGUGAAGAAAAGUCGCCGCGUUCCUCUUGCCUGAUGAAAUCCUCUUCUCGUCUAGAUCUGAGCCUCCGCGUGGCUUCAGGAUCAGAUGCUUGGUCCGAUCGAACAACGGUGAGUCUUGCUCUGUUACUUGAUUUUUCGAAACGCAUGGUUUUGUUUUGUGAUGAUGUGCAGGUUCCGAUCUGUUUAGUUUGAUUGAUGAGUUGACGCAUCAGCUCGAAGCGAGACAAGGCUGCCUUGUUUUUGUGCCUGGAGGUUUCUGAUCCGUCGAAUUGAUAUCUGCCGACCUUCAGAGCUAUGACGUUCCGGGGGAAUCUGGAUCUUGACGGACUGGACAAAUGGGAGGCGUCGACGGGCUUCUAAAGCAUGGUUGAACAAUUGUGAGAUGUGACAUCUUGAAGGCCUUUGCCAUGUUGGGUGCGCUCGCAUGGCAGGCAUCAUAAUAAAGAUGUUGGUUUUGUGUGCUGGGUGGGAGAUCGCACGGGGAAUUGUUUUUUCAUCCCUGGGUUCUUCCGCCCUUUGUGUCCCCAUGCCCUGCUUCGUGUUGUUUGGCUUCUCGUUCUACGCUUCAUCACCGGUGCUGCUGCAAAUUUGUAACAUCCGGCCAAUGUUAGAGAUCACACAUAUCAGUACU
rnacentral:lncRNA from 1 species